GCAAGGCUGUGAGGCCAUGAAACUGUGUUAAGCAACACUCAUGGCAAUGACUGGAUCUGCUGGUUUAGCCAUACAUCCCAAACCUGUCAAGCGAAUGGCAGGGGGCGGCAGUGCCUGUUGCGUAUCAGCUUUUGGAAGAAAUCGGAACCCUAGCUUCCUGAUGGCGUAACCAUACUGCAGUUUCCAUACCAGAUCUCAGAAAAGAUGCUCCCCAAGAGAGUUAUUUAUACAACUGUUUUCAGGUGUCCCAGAGAAGCCUCGGGGGAGAGAAGAGACUUGUGCACGUUUGGACAGAACUUUCUGCAAGGAAGGGAACAAGGCUGAUGGGAUCUGACAAUGCCCAGUGGGGACACGGUCCCCAGAGAUGCUGCCCGUCACCUUUGUUAAUCCCAUGCAAAGGAUCAGAGUUAGACAAGCAGAUAGCUGAUCGUUCUGGCCACAAAC